CAACCCUCAAGCUUUGCUUGGUGUUGGGGUCCUACGCCUCGCGCGUAGGCCCUUAAGACUAGUGGCGGACCUUUUGUGAUCCCGAGCGUAGUAAUUAUUACCGCUUUGGAGAGCUGGAGGGACCCAGCCGUUAAACCCCAUAUUCUCAAGG
rnacentral:misc_RNA from 1 species